rnacentral:tRNA from 3 species
GGACAAUUAGCUCAGUUGGUUAGAGCGUCACAUUGACAUUGUGAAGGUCACUGGUUCGAAUCCAGUAUUGUCCACCA